rnacentral:lncRNA from 1 species
CCCACGCCGGCGGGAGCCGCCCGUUCGCGCUGCCAGCAGCUUCCGCCUGCUACGGUCCUGGCAAGCACCUCGGGAUCCCAUUCCUUCACAGGGACCCUAGCCAGGAGUCUCUGCAUUAGUUGGACAGCUCUUCUGGAAUUAUCUUCUAAGUCAACUGUGGGUUGGGUAGGUGGCUCUGCUGAUUUUUCGCUGGACUUCCACAUUUGGGACGAGUUGGCUGUCAUCAGCUCUAGAAAGGGUGUGGCCGUUUUACAUUGGCUGUUUUCCUCACAUUCCUCAAGCAGGUACUGUAAUAAAGAACUGGAGAAAUACAGUCAGAUGGGAAGUAGCCCUUGCUGUCAAGGAGCUUGCCAUCUAAUGGGGGAGACAGGCAAGUAAACCAAAGACUACACAGUGCAGUAUGGUAAGUGCCAUGAUUUUGAUGUGACAGGGCACAGUGGACGACCUUCCAAAUCAAAGCAAGUAACUAGGGGUUGACAAUGGUAAGUAUCAUAGUUGAAGUAUCCUUGAACAAGGUUUCAGGAAGAAGAAGAAGGGAAUUUCAUGCAGGGAAACAGCCAAAGCUCAGUGAGUCAAAAUAUCACAGCAUUCUUGGUAAGCCCAAUUGUUUUUUCUGUUUUGCUAUUUUGGUGGAGAGAAAGGAACACAUAAAGGAAUAACAUGAGAGAAGGCUAUUUGGGGAAGUGUAGUAGUUAAGGUUCUGGCUCAAACAACAACUGCAGCUCAUAAAGUUGACUUUAGUGGAAGGAUACUGGGGUAUCUCAUGGAAUCUUGGGAACUGUUGAAUAACCAGGGAAACUCUGGGAAACUCACUGGUAGGAAUCCAUAAACUGUCCUCCUGGUGGGCUGUAAACAACUCACCCUCUAUGCAUCUCACAUCAAAAUUCCAGUUUCUUGGGAAAACAAGUCUGUUUGCCCAAUUUGGGUCAUAUUUCCACGUCCAUGUUACUCAGGCAUGAUUCAUCUGCAAGUUAUGUGUAUAGAUAUUUUGCUACUGUUCCACCCUUACGCUGUGCUGGGGAGGGAGGUGUCACUGUGAGCUGUGUCGGUGCCUUAAGAGAUAUCUGUUGUGUCUUAUUACUUGGUUGCUUUUCCCCACAUGUACAAUGACAAAAAUGCCUUCAACCUAUUUGAUCCAGCCGUUCCAGUACAACUCCUAUACUUGCCAUCUUUCCAAGCCCAAAGGUACAUCCAGCUGAUGGAAGGAGCAUCUUGGUGUUAAUAUUCUUUUAGUCAUGGUCUCUGAAAGUAAAAUGUCUAUUCUUCUAAUUCUGGCACAAUCUUAUCUAGCUAUAGUUCCUCAUGGUCCUGCACUCCAUGGACUAAAUUAUGAUGAAACUGAAACACAAAAAAUUUAGAUUAACUCUUAGGUGACAAAGCCAGGAUUGAAGCUCAUGCGGUCUGGCUCCAGAACAACUCUUCUUCAUAGUUACGUUAUACUGCCCCUGCAUUGUUGGUAUUGAAAAUAACUGAUACCGUGCUUCCAGAAGAUUUUUCUAACAGUGUUUGCAAGCUAUAAAAUAGUGCUUUCACUUAGAAAAGGCUAGACGUGGUGGUUCAUGCCUGUAAUCCCAGCACUUUGAGAGGCCGAGGCACCAUG